rnacentral:rRNA from 1 species
AGAGAGAGACAUGCGCGCAUAUCAAUAAGCGGAGGAAAAGUACUACCUACGCUUAGGAUGUUGAAAUAUGCGCGACACGACUCUAUACAUGACUCUGCGCAUAUCAAUAAGCGGAGGAAAAGAAACUAACUAGGAUUCCCUCAGUAACGGCGAGUGAAGCGGGAAGAGCUCAAAUUUGAAAUCUUAAAGGGUUUCCCUUGACGAAUUGUAGUUUAAAGAAGUGUUUUCUGUUGGAGGUUUUGGUAAAAGUUCUUUGGAAUAGGACAUCAUAGAGGGUGAGAAUCCCGUAUUUGACCAUUACUUUCAGCUUUGUGAUACACUUUCAAAGAGUCGGAUUGUUUGGGAAUGCAGUCCAAAAUGGGUGGUAAAUUUCAUCUAAAGCUAAAUAUUGGCGAGAGACCGAUAGCGAACAAGUACCGUGAGGGAAAGAUGAAAAGAACUUUGAAAAGAGAGUUAAACAGUACGUGAAAUUGUCAAAAGGGAAGCGUUUGACACCAGUGUUGUUUUUCUGAAAAUCAAUUAAAGAACUGUUUAUGCUAAGUUGUUUAGACUUUAUCAGCUAACUGUUUAGUUUUGAGCUUUUCUUUAAUGCACUUUUCAGUUAACAAGUCAACAUCAAUUUCUUUUGCUGUAAAAAAGCUUGAGGAAGGUGGCUUGAGAUUCGUCUUAAGUGUUUAUAGCCUCUUGCCUAUGCAGUCGGAGAGAUUGAGGUCUGCAGCGUAGAUCCUUCGGGGCUAAAUGCAUUUGUGCUAAGUUAUAGCAUUUUAUAGACAACUUGUUGACUAUGAUUUGUCUUGUAGCUUACUCGCUUAUGUUAUUUUACCUACGCUUAGGAUGUUGAGCGCAUGUCUCUCUCU